UGGGGCUGGGCCCGCCGGCGAGCCGGAAGCCAGGGAACAAGUGUGGUGGAGUGGGGCGGGGCCGAGCUAGAAAUGGGGGGCCGCGGAGCUGGGAGCCGACCCUGAGCUCAUCUUUCGUAGGGAGAGCUGAGUUCUGGGGGCGCCAGAGCCGGAGGCGGAGACGUGAAGUCAGGGCUGAGUGGGCGGAAGAGAGCCUCGGCUGAGACAUGGCCACCAAUCACCCAAGAGGACACGUGCAACUGCCCCGAGCUGAUGCCAUUCGUUCACGUCUCAUUGAUACUUUCUCUCUCAUCGAGCAUCUGCAAGGCUUGAGCCAAGCUGUGCCACGACACACUAUCCGAGAGAUAGUUGAUCCUUCCGGUCAGAAGAAGGUUAUGUUGGGAGAUCAACACCAGCUUGUGCGCUUCUCCAUAAAGCCUCGACAUGUAGAACGAAUUACACAUGGGCGGAGGCUGAUGAGCAGGCUUCGAGUGCGCUGCAGUCAGAGGCCACCUCUUUCCUUGUGGGCUGGAUGGGUCCUUGAGUGUAUCCUUUCGUGCCCCUCAUUUUUAUCCCAUGCCUUUACUGUCUCUCUUGCCUCAUCAUCUGCCUGAAGACUUAUUUUCCCAUUUCCAAACUCCAUUUUCUUCUGAUCCUCACUGGUUCUAUUCUUGCCUUUAUUAUUUCACCUGUAUUAGAAAGAAUUCCACUCCGUAUGUUUCCUUAAGAGAAAACAGGUCCUCUCUUCACAAACUUCAUCAUCUUUCUCAUCUUUUUGAAUACAAUUGUACUGAUGGUUGAAAUAGGUGAGAACUGACAUUGAAUGGAAGAGGAAGUGGCUAUGGGUCAUUUUUCCUGUAAAUUGAUCAUUUUUUUAUUUUUGACUGUUACUUGAAUUGUGAUAGGGACAAUUAUAUUAAGUCCCCCAUAGUAAGAUUUGUGCAACUGCUAAGACAUGGAAAUAUAUGGAGGGCUCUCAAGAGAGUGGUAGAUAUAAAGUAGUCUAGACACUUAUAGUGUAAUAGACUCAUGGGAAACCAAAGAUGUAAAGACCAGUUAUAUUUCUUGUGUCAGUUUAGUUUAAUAGUUGUUUAAAUUAGCCUUUUGUAUUAGAGAUAUUGGUGCCUAUUGGUGAGUGAUGCAACACUUACAUUUUUUACAAGUAUGUUAAAUAUUGAGUACAAAUAAGAAAGCUCACAAAGUAUAUAAAGCUAGAUACAACUAAAAUAUUAGAUGAGCCAAAAAAUGACUUAAAGAGUAAAUGAUUCUAAAAUCAGUCCUAAAUUAUAUGAAAUGUAUUAAAAGCAAAAAAAUCUGGAAAAUCAAUGAGCUCAUUUGAUUAUCAUCUCAAACAAACUGCUCUGAAAUGAUGAAAAGGACUUCCUUGUUUCAUCCUCAUUGUUUCGGGGAAUUUUCCUACUUUAUAAUAGUCUUUUAAUGCAAUCAGGUCAAAGAUAUUUAAAUAUACAACAAUUCUUGAUAUCACUAACCCACUACAGUAUACUAUAUACUUUGAGGUAUUUUUUUUUUAGAGAGAGAGAGAGUGUGCACACAUGUAUAGACGGGAGAGGCAGAGGGAGAGGAAG